rnacentral:rRNA from 1 species
ACAAGGUUUCCGUAGGUGAACCUGCGGAAGGAUCAUUAUUGAAAUAAACCUGAUGGGUUGUUGCUGGCUCUCUAGGGAGCAUGUGCACGCCUUGUCAUCUUUAUAUCUCCACCUGUGCACUUUUUGUAGGCCUUUCAGGUCUAUGUUGCUUCAUUUACCCCAAUGUAUGUUAAUAGAAUGUUGUGACUAUAUAAUAUAUACAACUUUCAGCAACGGAUCUCUUGGCUCUCGCAUCGAUGAAGAACGCAGCGAAAUGCGAUAAGUAAUGUGAAUUGCAGAAUUCAGUGAAUCAUCGAAUCUUUGAACGCACCUUGCGCUCCUUGGUAUUCCGAGGAGCAUGCCUGUUUGAGUGUCAUUAAUAUAUAUAUCAAACCCUCUCUUUGUUGAGUGGUUUGGAUGUGGGGGUUUGCUGGCCUCUUAAAUGGUUCAGCUCUCCUGAAAUGCAUUAGCAGAACAACCCUGUUCAUUGGUGUGAUAACUAUCUACGCUAUUGAAUGUGAAGGGAAGUUCAGCUUUCUAACUGUCUUUGGACAAUUCAUCAUUAAUGUGACCUCAAAUCAGGUAGGACUACCCCGCUGAACUUAAGCAUAUCAAUAAGCG